rnacentral:rRNA from 1 species
CCUACGGGAGGCAGCAGUGAGGAAUAUUGGUCAAUGGACGAGAGUCUGAACCAGCCAAGUAGCGUGAAGGAUGACUGCCCUAUGGGUUGUAAACUUCUUUUAUAAAGGAAUAAAGUGAUGCACGUGUGCCUUUUUGUAUGUACUUUAUGAAUAAGGAUCGGCUACCUCCGUGCCAGCAGCCGCGGUAAUACGGAGGAUCCGAGCGUUAUCCGGAUUUAUUGGGUUUAAAGGGAGCGUAGAUGGGUUGUUAAGUCAGUUGUGAAAGUUUGCGGCUCAACCGUGAAAUUGCAAUUGAUACUGGCAGUCUUGAGUACAGUUGAGGUAGGCGGAAUGCGUAGUGUAGCGGUGAAAUGCUUAGAUAUCACGAAGAACUCCGAUUGCGAAGGCAGCUUACUAAACUGCCACUGACAUUGAUGCUCGAAAGUGUGGGUAUCAAACAGGAUUAGAUACCCGGGUAGUC